AACUUUUAGCAAUGGAUCUCUUGGUUCUCGCGUCGAUGAAGAACGCAGCGAAAUGCGAUAAGUAAUGUGAAUUGCAGAAUUCAGUGACUCAUCGAAUCUUUGAACGCACCUUGCACCCUUUGGUAUUCCGAAGGGUAUGCUCGUUUGAGUGUCAUUGUACUCUCACACUCCCAAAUCUCUUUGGCUUGGGAGCGGUGGACUUGGGUGCUGCUGCUUGACUGUGGCUCACCUGAAAUAUGUUUGUGCACCUCCUGAUUGGACAUAGUACGGCGUGAUAAUUGUCUUCGCUGGCUCCUCGCAAUGAGGGUGGCCGAUCGGGAGCUCUGUUGCUUCAAACUGUCUUCGGACAAUCUUCUGGCGACUUGACCUCAAAUCGAGUAGGACUACCCGCUGAACUUAAGCAUAUCAAUAAGCGGAGGCU
rnacentral:misc_RNA from 1 species